rnacentral:tRNA from 1 species
GUUUAAAUAGCUUAUUUAGAGUAUAAUAUUGAAGAUAUUAGGGAGAUCGUUAGAUUUUUA